rnacentral:rRNA from 1 species
AACGAACGCUGGCGGCAUGCCUAACACAUGCAAGUCGAACGAGACCUUCGGGUCUAGUGGCGCACGGGUGCGUAACGCGUGGGAACCUGCCCUUAGGUUCGGAAUAACUCCCCGAAAGGGGUGCUAAUACCGGAUAAUGUCUUCGGACCAAAGAUUUAUCGCCUUUGGAUGGGCCCGCGUUGGAUUAGCUAGUUGGUAGGGUAAAAGCCUACCAAGGCGACGAUCCAUAGCUGGUCUGAGAGGAUGAUCAGCCACACUGGGACUGAGACACGGCCCAGACUCCUACGGGAGGCGGCAGUGGGGAAUAUUGGACAAUGGGCGGAAGCCUGAUCCAGCCAUGCCGCGUGAGUGAUGAAGGCCUUAGGGUUGUAAAGCUCUUUUACCCGGGAUGAUAAUGACAGUACCGGGAGAAUAAGCUCCGGCUAACUCCGUG